CGGCGGACGGGUGAGUAACGCGUGGGUAACCUGCCUCAUACAGGGGGAUAACAGUUAGAAAUGACUGCUAAUACCGCAUAAGACCACAGCACCGCAUGGUGCAGGGGUAAAAACUCCGGUGGUAUGAGGUGGACCCGCGUCUGAUUAGUUAGUUGGUGGGGUAACGGCCUACCAAGGCGACGAUCAGUAGCCGGACUGAGAGGUUGACCGGCCACAUUGGGACUGAGACACGGCCCAGACUCCUACGGGAGGCAGCAUG
rnacentral:rRNA from 1 species